rnacentral:lncRNA from 1 species
GGCAGUUAGGCUGCAGUGAAUUCUACAAAGAGGCUAUGGGAAAGAAACCUGGAAAGUACCCUUGGCUGUGUACAUUUGAGUAAAGAGAGCACUAUAAAAUCAAAAACCAAUGAAAUGGUUUCCAGAACACAGAACUAUUAAGCUUAAGAAAAGGACAGAAGGAACUGAAGAGAGAGGAACUGUUUUGGAGCAUCACACUUCCACCUCAGAAGAAAUAAGGAAGGAAGGAGGAGGGUGUUCCCACGGCUCUUCAACCAGGCCGGCUCUUCAGCCUACAUCCCCAUCUCAUCAAGUAAAAGGGAUUUUUCAACUGGACCAACCAGAUGGUUUAACAGUGCACUCCCACACCAUUCAACUACGCAAGGGAGAUACACUUAACAUAUGCAGUCGUAUAACACCUACUAACAUUUUCAAACAUUAAACCUUUAAAAAAGAGUUCUAAAGAAAUAGAAGCUUGAAGUAUCAUCUCUCAAGUAUAUAGACACUACUUCAUGGUGUGGUAAUAUAUGCAUAUAGAAGCUAGUAAACACCUCCAGGAGAUGCAAAAGGAAUUAGAACUGCCACAAGGUGCAAGCAAAACCUUGAGGUAAUCAAUCUGCAUCCCAUUUUGGAUGAGAAUAUUUGCAACUUUGAAGGUUAUUUUAAGGACAGCAGCAGAAGAAUUAUGGCAGGUAUCUGAAAUUCAUUUCUGUGCUUUGCCGAGGACCCAUGGGAUGCCAUUUGCAGAUGAGAAAACUAAAGAAUAGCUUUAUCUUCCAGCUCUUCACGGAAAAAAAAAUGGCAACAAUAAAAUCAGCAACUCCUGCCAAAUAAAUGGGCAUAAAAAAGAAAUCAUAGACUGCUGGCAAUGGUGGGGAAAAAGUUAUAAAAAUUGUCUCUGCACCAUCUUCCUUUUGUCCUCUAAAAUAUUCACAUUAGCAAAAGUAUAUAACAGCUGAUGAAGAAAUACUGAUAAUUUGUCUUUGGGACUAGCUUCAGUAUUUUGGCUUCUUUUUGCUUCUUUGCAACAAAUUGGGAGACAAAGGUGGGAAAGUUUUUUUCAAUAAGUUAAUAAUUUUUUAAAGGUCAAAAUUUUGUUCUUUGCUUAUAUUAGAAUUAAACACUGUGAGAUUCUCUCU